CCUACGGGUGGCUGCAGUGGGGAAUAUUGGACAAUGGGCGCAAGCCUGACCCAGCAACGCCGCGUGAAGGAAGAAGGCUUUCGGGUUGUAAACUUCUUUUGUCAGGGAAGAGUAGAACACGGUCCCUGCCGCAUUAGCCACGGCUCACUACGUGCCAGCAGCCGCUGUAAUACGGAGGUGGCACGCGUUGUCCGGAUUUACUGUGUUUAACGGGCGUGUAGCCGGUUUGACAAGUCAGAUGUGAAAGCCUGCGUCUUAAACGCAGAACUGCAUUUGAAACUGUUGGUCUGGAGUACUGGAGAGGCAGACGGAAUUCCUAGUGUGGCGGUGAAAUGCGUAGAUAUUAGGAGGAACACCAGUGGCGAAGGCGGCCUGCUGGACAGCAACUGACGGUGAGGCGCGAAAGCGUGGGGAGCAAACAGGAUUAGAUACCCUUGUAGUC
rnacentral:rRNA from 1 species